ensembl:lncRNA
GGACUUGAGCCAGAGCAGGGCAAUGGGCUGUGCAUCUCCAUCUGCUGCUGGGACACCAAUGUUUGGAAAACUGCUUAAUCCACACUGGAAAUUGAAAGGUGAGAUCCCACAGGACCAUCACUCUGCGAUGGGAGCACAGGGCACCUGCAGAGCUCUGGGUUCCUCCAGACCUGCCCUGGACCUCAGCCUGUGGACCUAAAACCCAACACCCUCCACAGAGAUUCUGCCUGAGCCCAGAGCACCAAAAACAUCUCCAUCCCUCAUCUCCAGCCUUCAUCUUCAUCCCUCAUCUCCAUCCCUCAUCUCCAGCCUUCAUCUCCAAUCUUCAUCUUCAACCUUCACCUCCAGCCUUUAUCUCCAACCUUCAUCUCCAUCCCUCAUCUCCAUCCUUCAUCUCCAUCCCUCAUCUCCAUCCUUCAUCUCAAUCCCUCAUCUCCAUCCCUCAUCUCCAACCUUCCUCUCCAUCCUUCAUCUUCAACCUUCACCUCCAGCCUUUAUCUCCAACCUUCAUCUCCAUCCCUCAUCUCCAUCCUUCAUCUCCAUCCCUCAUCUCCAUCCUUCAUCUCCAACUCUCAUCUCCAACCCUCAUUUCCAACCUUCAUCUCCUUCCCUCAUCUCCAAUCUUCGUCUCCAACCCUCACCUCCAGUAUUCAUGUCCAUCCCUCAUCUCCAUCUUCAAUUUUCAUCUCCAACUCUCAUCUCCAACCUUCAUUUCCAUCCCUCCUCUCCAUCCCUCACCUCCACCUCUCCCUUCCCAGGGAAGCUGUGGCCAUCCCUGGAUCCCUCUCAGUGUCCCAGGCCAGCUUGGACAGGGUUUGGAGCACGGUGGGACAGUGGCAGGUGUCCCUCCCCCCCAACCAGAAUUCCAGGAUUCUGGAUCUGUCCCCACUGAAGCAUCCCAAGGAUCCAAUCCUGCAAUCCCAGCUGGAUUUCCCUGCGGAACGGCUGCAACCUCACGAAAACCUCGAGGAACGCCGGAGCAGCGCGUUCCUGUUCACACCAGCUUUAAAACAACUUCCAAAAAUGUCUUUUUUUUUAAUAAAUUCUGCUCUGGAAGUGGCUGGCUCGGAACAGCUGCAGAGUUUUCCUGGGAAUUCUCCUGGGAAUCCUCCCAGGACAGCAGCUGGAGCUCCCAGAAGUUUCCUCGCUGCUCCAAAGGCAGCUCCCAUACGAUGGCAGCAGAGGCCUGCAGCUGCUUUGAAGGAAUUUUUUGCCCAGUAUUUUUAUUUUUUUUCCCCAAAGACAAUUCCUUGCUUUGGUUUUAUUUUAGUUUUGGGUUUUUUUAAAAAAAUUUUCCGUUCUAUUCCCUUUUUUAAUUUCAUUGAAAGAACUCUUCUCUGAGAAACUGAAAUAGAAACAAAGCAAAAAUCACCCUGAAACAAAAGGAAAUUGCAUCCUUAAAUUACCAAGAUGAUGACGUCACCAUGACUGCAACAUUUUUGCUGAAAAUUUAAAUUAAAUAAAUGUACAAAAAUAAUGAGCCUGUUUCUUUUC